UACGUAGGGUCCGAGCGUUUGUCCGGAAUUAUUGGGCGUAAAGAGCUUGUAGGCGGUUUGUCGCGUCUGCCGUGAAAGCCCAGGGCUUAACCCUGGGUCUGCGGUGGGUACGGGCAGACUAGAGUGUGGUAGGGGGAGACUGGAAUUCCUGGUGUAGCGGUGAAAUGCGCAGAUAUCAGGAGGAACACCGAUGGCGAAGGCAGGUCUCUGGGCCACUACUGACGCUGAGAAGCGAAAGCAUGGGGAGCAAACAGG
rnacentral:rRNA from 1 species